CUUUCUUUGCUGGCGGCCGGCGCACGGGUGAGUAACACGUAUCCAACCUGCCCUUUACUCGGGGAUAGCCUUUCGAAAGAAAGAUUAAUACCCGAUAGCAUAAUGAUUCCGCAUGGUUUCAUUAUUAAAGGAUUCCGGUAAAGGAUGGGGAUGCGUUCCAUUAGGUUGUUGGUGAGGUAACGGCCCACCAAGCCUUCGAUGGAUAGGGGUUCUGAGAGGAAGGUCCCCCACAUUGGAACUGAGACACGGUCCAA
rnacentral:rRNA from 1 species